GUGUUCAUGGCCACUUCAUUCAGGAAGACCCAAGCACCUAUUUCCCUAAUGCUGAAGGCAGCGUUCAAGCCCCAGAUAGAAGUGAGAAAGAACAAGAGGUGGUGUCUGCAAAGGAGCGUUCUGAAGCCGAUGCAUGGAGUCCUGCAGAGGGCGCAUCCUCAAAUGGUCACUGUGUUGAAGGUGAUCAAGAAGCCAGUGAGUUUGCAAGUGCAGCUACCCUUCCAAGGGAAAACCCUUCACCUCCUGAAAUACUGGAAGAAAGAACAGCAGGAAA
rnacentral:lncRNA from 1 species